rnacentral:rRNA from 1 species
GACGAACGCUGGCGGCGUGCUUAACACAUGCAAGUCGAACGGAAAGGCCCUGCUUGCAGGGUACUCGAGUGGCGAACGGGUGAGUAACACGUGGGUGAUCUGCCCUGCACUUCGGGAUAAGCCUGGGAAACUGGGUCUAAUACCGGAUAGGAGCCAUUUGUAGUGUGAUGGUUGGAAAGUUUUUUCGGUGUAGGAUGAGCUCGCGGCCUAUCAGCUUGUUGGUGGGGUAAUGGCCUACCAAGGCGGCGACGGGUAGCCGGCCUGAGAGGGUGGACGGCCACAUUGGGACUGAGAUACGGCCCAGACUCCUACGGGAGGCAGCAGUGGGGAAUAUUGCACAAUGGGCGCAAGCCUGAUGCAGCGACGCCGCGUGGGGGAUGACGGCCUUCGGGUUGUAAACUCCUUUCGCUAGGGACGAAGCUUUUUGUGACGGUACCUAGAUAAGAAGCACCGGCUAACUACGUG